GUCACGCCCGAAGUCGUUACCCCAACCGUAAGGGGGGGGAUGCCUAAGGUAGGACUGAUGACUGGGGUGAAGUCGUAACAAGGUAGCCGUACCGGAAGGUGUGGCUGGAUCACCUCCUUUUAGGGAGACCUAAUCCAUUUAGAAAUCGAAAACAAUGAAAAUUGUCAAUAGAAACUAAAGUGGUCUAACCUAGGUCGUUCGAGAUUGGUAGAUAUCUUUCAAAGUAUUAUUCGGCUUCGUUCAAAACCAUAUAUAAAUGGAAAAAGACAGCACCUAAUUGUCAAAGUUAGACUGCUGGAUGAAAUUCCAGCCAGAACCUUGAAAACUGCAUAAGAGAACGAGAAAAAGCAGGCAGACACAGACAUUUAGAUGGAUGUGGAAGCAAAAGAAAUUGUGGUCAAGCUAAUAAGGGCUAAUGGUGGAUACCUAGGCACACAGAGGAAGGGC
rnacentral:misc_RNA from 1 species